UAAAAGUCUGGGUUCGCCCCUGAUGGUCACCACCAUUAACUCCGACCAUCAACAGAUCUACCUCUUACACACCAUUGGCAACAACACCAAGGCGGAAACUGAAUGUUGAUGCCUCUACUAAAUAUAGAAAUUGACAAAUCCAAGCCUUCUAUGAUUUCUUCGUCCCCUGCGCACAUCAUGUCAAGAGCAGGUCCGUGUAUUGUACCUGGGUAUUCUAGUGUAAUGGGUGUAGAAGUGGUCGAGGUGAUGGUGUUGGCGGCGAUGAUGGCGUGGCAAUACUCUCGUUGCAGAGGUGAUGAAUUUGAAGUGGAGUUGGUGGUUGUUCAUUUUCGGGUGAUGACGAUGAUUUUGGUGAUCGAUGAUAAUGGAGUGAGGUAAGGUGAGUUUGUGGUGGGUGAAUAAUGUAUGUGAAUAGUUAAUUGGGUAAUUUGUGAUUGAUAAAUAAUUGAUGAUCUAGUGACUUGCGCCUAAAUGCAUAAAUUUGUUCAGUUAAUUGAAUAAUUUAUUACCUAUUAAAUGUGUGAUUUUUGAUUAAAAUACCUUAUUGUGACCCACAAAUUAUAUGUGUUUGUGAUGUGAUCUUAUGCUAUUUGUGGUUAGUAUAUGAUUGUAACCAUAAAUAGUGUGUGAUUAUUACCUUGAUUUGUUCAAUUAAAU
rnacentral:lncRNA from 1 species